UCGGGCAUACAGCAAAAGAUUGCUGGUACAGGUAUGAGGAGGACGACUACGACUCCCAAGAUGAAGAAAAGGUCGCUGCGGCGGCUGAUGGCUCAUAUGGUGUCGACACGAACUGGUAUGUUGACAGUGGUGCUACCAACCACAUCACCAAUGAGCUCGAAAAAGUAACCAUGAAGGAGAAAUAUCGCGGCAAGGAUCAAAUCCAUACUGCCAGUGGAGAAGGCAACGAGGACGGUUCUCUAUCGAGGUAGAUGCGUUGGUGGCCUCUAUCCGUUGAUUCCGGAGUUUCGAAGACCAAAUAAAUAUGCUUGUGGUGCUAUCAAGCUCUCGUCCACACGAUGGCACGAUCGUUUAGGACAUGCAUCUUUUUCUUUAGUUGAAAAAUUACUUAGGAAAAAUAAUCUCCCGUUUGUUGGUGAGCGUCAUAAUGAGACAAUUUGUGAUUCAUGUCAGAAAGCUAAAAGUCAUCAGUUGCCUUACCCUA